GUUCUUAAGGGUAGGAUGUUUUGUUCGCGUCUUUUAAAUUCAACUUGCCAAGUUAAUUUUUUUCUACGUGUAAUAUCUCGAAAGGUUAGAUUGAUUGACUAAUACUGUAUAUUAUUAUUUUUCGCAAUUAUCUGCAGAAUAAAUUAAAAUUUCCACGUAAUAGAUGUUUCUAUGAAUUUUAUGCAUCUAUGAAAGAAGACACGCCUCAUCGCCAUUUUAAAAGUAAGAAUUUUACAAUUUUACUUGCUUUUUAUUCUAUCUACGAUAAAUGAGUGAGAAGAUUGAAGUUUAUUUUAAUAAUAGUGAAAAAGCAAGUCGUCUCCUAUGAUGCUUUAUCUGUUAUCAUCUGGGAGACUUGUAGUUAAUUAAGGAACAUUAGAAAACACCAGAUGCCAUUAAAUUAAGGAGCAUGGAAGUGCCUUUUUUUCUUGGGAAUAAAAAGACAGUGUGCUGUUACUGUAGAAAAGAUUCAUGACAGUGAACUGGAAGGUUGGAUGAACUCCAGAUUCUGUUAAAUUAUGGGGCAGUGGUUGUCUCGGUCGUCAAUCGCUCCAGAAAGUAGCUUUGCCUAUGGUCCUAAAAAAAGCAUGAAAACACAUUUUUCUAUUGGGAACGGAGACAGUGUGCUGUUGCUGAAGAAAGGAUUUAUGACAAUGAACUGAUUAUCGUAACAAAUUAGAAGGAAUUGGUGCUACUGAAACAACCGAUGCUUUUGAUGUUUUCAUCUUGCAACAUUAUGCAGUUAGUUUUGGCCGUGAGAAUGGGAGGCAAAUGGAAAUUAAUUAGGAAGCCACUGAAACAACAAAUUGUCUGCAGUGAUAUCUCUCCUAGAUUUGUUUUGCUCUGCUCAUAAUACUGGUAGACUUUGGAACGCUAAUUUCUACAGGUAGUCAAGGUGAGAAAACAAGACGU